UCAGUUCAGACUUGGUGUAAGCACAUCCAGUCACUUGCAGGUGCAGGAUACAAAAAGUGUCAUGAAGGAAAGACAUAUACCAGCCAGUGACUGCAAAAUCAUGGAAAAGAAAAUUCAAUAGAGCUUUGAUGGUGCCUGCAGCUAUGGGCAGAUGGUGUGAAGAAUAGCAGUCAGAUAUGGGCAGAUGGUGUGAAGAAUAGCAGUCAGAUAUGGGCAGAUGGUGUGAAGAAUAGCAGUCAGAUAUGGGCAGAUGGUGUGAAGAAUAGCAGUCAGAUAUGGGCAGAUGGUGAGAAGAAUAGCAGUCAGAUAUGGGCAGAUGGUGAGAAGAAUAGCAGUCAGAUAUGGGCAGAUGGUGAGAAGAAUAGCAGUCAGAUAUGGGCAGAUGGUGAGAAGAAUAGCAGUCAGAUAUGGGCAGAUGGUGAGAAGAAUAGCAGUCAGAUAUGGGCAGAUGGUGAGAAGAAUAGCAGUCAGAUAUGGGCAGAUGGUGAGAAGAAUAGCAGUCAGAUAUGGGCAGAUGGUGAGAAGAAUAGCAGUCAGAUAUGGGCAGAUGGUGAGAAGAAUAGCAGUCAGAUAUGGGCAGAUGGUGAGAAGAAUAGCAGUCAGAUAUGGGCAGAUGGUGAGAAGAAUAGCAGUCAGAUAUGGGCAGAUGGUGAGAAGAAUAGCAGUCAGAUAUGGGCAGAUGGUGAGAAGAAUAGCAGUCAGAUAUGGGCAGAUGGUGAGAAGAAUAGCAGUGGUGAGAAGA